UCACAAAAUGUUCAGAAAAAUCCUUCCAAAGGACCAUUUUCAUAUAAGUUGCGUCUAUACAAGUUUAGUUCUUGCUGACACAGCCAUAUCAUUCUAAUAAUUACUGCUUAUAUCUGUAUGGAUCUGAAUUUUAAAAUUCUUUUUACUGAGCUGGGUCUUAUGUUGGUGACCUCUGUUUACCAUUAUGUUAAUAUUUCACUAGGGCUUAAAAUUCAACAGUAUUUACAAUAUACAAACUUCAGCCUUGACUGCCCCAAAGGCACUGCUGCAACUUCUGUUGCUUCAGUUUACUUGCACAUAGCCAGCAUACUGUAGGCAGGUACAAGACCAAAAGAACUCCUUGAGCUGUGCCUCCUCCUCCCACUUUCACCACUCUCCAGUGUGAUGUGGACUGCACCUGCAUGAGCAAGGCAGCAAGCGAAAAUCAUCAGGGAACCACGUUACAUUAGAUUCUUCCCGCUGUUAGUGAGUAACUCUGUUCAUGAUACUGAAUCAUUUUAUUGAAUUGGGAUGAUUAUGAAGAAACUCCAAUGGAAUACGCUCACAAAUUCCUAGGAAUCAGCAAAGCAGUAACAGUUGAUGGAGCUGCCCUUCACAAACCUUGAAGUAGCUUUCAUCUUGCUGGCUUUUGUCAUUUUCUCCUUGUUUACCCUGGCUUCUAUCUACAGUGACCCCCAUGACAACAAAGAAGAAGAAAGGUCCACACAGGAAGAGUACAAGAAAAGGAACAAACCCAACAAGAAAAAGAUACGUUCAAGUAUGACUCAAGUGGUUUAGAAUGUUACCCAGAUCCGUUGUUGAAAAUACUUCUGAAAGAGGUAGCGUUGGAAGCUGGUCACCUGAAGACAGUGAGAAAACAGAUGUGAGAAAGGAAAGACCUGAUCAUCCAUCAGACGGAAUCCAGACGUGACAAUUAGAGUUAAUGAACCACGACCCAUGAAGCUGCUUCAGCACCUUUUUACAACCACACUUCAUGGCCUUAAUAAAAGUACCAGAGCUUAUUUUACACACCACAUCUGCUCUAAAUUCCAAAAGGAGAAUCUUUAAAUUCAGAUGCUAUGUUUGGUUUCUUCCCCACUCUUCAUUCAUGUAUAAGGUAUUUAACAACAGCAUAUUUACUUUUUUAUCUGUUCAGUCAACAGAAUAUAAGCACUGGAAGAUAAUUUUUUACAAUGAGAUUGCGCUGUUAUACUAGUUAUUUAAUUUACAUUAACAUUAAUAAGCUGUUGAAGCUGUCUGAAAAGCAGCAGGCAAAUAUUUUCUCCAGUAUAAAUUUCACCAGUAUAAUGGCAUUUAUAUUCAAGUAUUUCUUUAUUUCAGGUAUUUGCAAAAUUUAUAGUAUGCUUUACAAAUAUUAGGUUAAUUUGCUGCUUUUGAAAUAUGCCUCACUCAGUCUUGAUACUUGAAGUCCUCCAUUUCUUUACAGAGCAGGUAUGGCUAAUGAAGCAAUACCUCUUUCUCCCCAAAGCCCAGAAGAUCUCCUGAACUUCUAAGUCCCAGGCUGGAAUAGAUCCUCCUUGCCUCAUGGGCAAAGUAUUUCUGCUGUUUUUCAGUUUUGGGAUCCUACCUUUUUCCUGAAAUGUCAAAAACCAGUAUUACAACUGCACCAUUUCUUCUGUCCACAAGUGAAAAGAAGCAAGGAGAAGGAAAAGUAGCCCAUAGGCUAAUUGUUAUAAGACUCCCUUUUGCAUAUUAGAUGUCUGGAAGGGCUCUGGACUGGGCUACGAGGUAACAUAUAGAGGGAAGAAGAAGUAAUUUUGUUUCUCACAACAGUGUUGAGUAAAAAUACCAAGAAAUUGACCUUGCUGUAUCACAAAGUUUCAGGUGGUAAUUGUUGAGCAGCCUAAUUACAACCCAUUGUUUUCAGAUUGUCAGUGUUUUUCAGGAAAGUAGAAUGUCUUAUUUUGUAAGAUAGCCAACAUUGACCCAAAAUCCUGGUUUAUUUCUCUCUAGAAAAGGAGGACAAGGCAGGUUGCUUUCAGAGCCUCUCAACAGUUUCCUCAGGACACCAUAAUGCCUGCAUUUUGUCUUCUGCUAUUAUACAUAAUGGAGAAUUGAUACAGGAUAGAUAAUUCUUGAUUUUCUAUAUCAGGCAUAUCUUCCCCCACCCUCCUCCUAAGAUGUUCUUCCAGUUACAUCAGUUUGCGAUGUUCUUCCCUACCUCACUGAGGUCCAAGCCUCACUGCAUGCUAACUUGCGUAUCUUUUCCAGUGCCACAACAGUUUCUGUACAGUCCUAGCUACAUUUCUUGAUGUUUCUUGACUCCCCUACUUGCCCUCCCGACAGCAGGGAUCAUGAAAUAACAUGGUCAAAAAAGCAGAUCCCCAGGAAUCCCAACCUAUUUAAUCUUUAAGAAAUUAAGUUCAUUCCCUUCUUCUAGUAGAUAUUUUUAGACAAAACUGUUAACCCCUCUCCCCCGAGUUGAUAUUAGUCAUUAAUUUACAAAUUAAUUAAGCUGCAUAUCAAUCCAUGACCUAAUCAAUGCUAGAGACAUUUGCUGGAAGGGUAAUAUCAUAUUUUAUUGACAUUAUUUGUCAGCCCAAAGGUCUGAUGUGUAUACAGUACUAGCACAAAAAUGCUUUUCCCAAACAAUUCAUUAUGAAAACUUAUAUCUAAGUUUCAAAUGCUUUUUAUUGAUAGUAAGCAAUUCCAGGAACACAUUUCCAGUUUAUGCCUUGACAAAGCCUCCUACAGAAAGAUGUACUAUUCCUCUUUUUUUUAUAAGAAGCAGAAAAAAUCCGCACUUUAGGCAACAUUC